ensembl:snRNA U2 U2 spliceosomal RNA
AUCGCUUCUCGGCCUUUUGGCUAAGAUCAAGUGUAGUAUCUGUUCUUAUCAGUUUAAUAUCUGAUACGUCCCCUACCCGGGGACCAUAUAUUAAAUUGAUUUUUGGAAUAGGGAGAUGGAAUAGGGGCUUGCUCCGUCCACUCCACGCAUCGACCCGGUAUUGCAGUACCUCCGGGAACGGUGCACCCCCC